AGCUUUUUCUCUCCGCCUUUCCUCUUUUCUGGAAGCUGCUGCCGCUGCUGCUCUCGCCUGGGCUGGGAAGCGCCGGCCGCGGUUUCCGCCCGCUGCUUUUCCCACCGCCUCCCCACUCCGGAACAUGGGCAGCCCAUUGGCCGGGGCUCCUGCGCGCCGCCUCGGGGGGCUGCUGGGCUGAGGCGCGGCCGCUGGGGAGGGAGCCGCGAGCAGAGACGACGGCCGCACACAAAGGGCGCCGCCAGACCAGCUUCCUCCUCCUCCUCGGGUCGUCUGAGUUGGAUACUUUCAGAGGAGCUAUCCAAGGCUAGAAUUUCCGGCCCCUGUAGGAGCUGAAGUCAGAAAUACCUGAAGAAAGAUGCUUACAUCUUCCCAUCUCCUCCAUUUUUAGAUGGGAGCAGUUUAUUGUAUUCGAAGAUGAUCUGCGGUAGAGUUGUGUUCCAGUUCUGAAAUACAAGGAUUAUCACAUGACUUUCACUUGCAGGUAAAAAGCAGAACGACAUCUGUGGAAACUUUUAGUGAAGUGAAGGAAGAACAAGUGAACG